UGGUUGUGUAUAAUUAUUUAAGAAUCUGUUGAGAGUUAUCACUGUUUUCACCGGAUAUCCCACAACAUAUCUCUAAAUUCAGCGUGCUGUCUGGUUGUUGUUAACCCAUUUCAUUCCAUUUCUCGUUCGUGAGAACAAUCAUGAACAAAAACUUGAAGCCUUAGCUUAUACUACAUUCAUUCACAUAUCGAAUAUUGGCGUGCUUCAACAAUCCAGACGAACUGCUCUGAAGUCUGAACAUCACCGUGCAUGCGUACGUUGUACAAGAAAAUCGGACAGGAUCGACCAAGACACGACCUCUGGAUCGACGCCAUUACCUUAUUCUCAUCUCCUCCGCCUCAAAUCCGCUCGAUCAGCCGCGGAUCUCUGCUAUACCGGUCGAUCCGCCGCAGUUUCGAGCGACCCAAGCAGGAUGUCAGGAACGUCCCGGCGGGUCGGCGAUCACAAGGUGAGCUUCCCCAUCUCCCGGCGCAGCGCGGUGGCCCUGACGAGGCUGCCGAUGGUGUUGACGGCGAGCUUGAUGUCCUCGAUGGGGUUGCCCGGCACGACGCGCUUGUAGAGGUAGCUGUCGAAGGUCAUCCGCUGCACGUAGUCGUCGGCGCACAUCUCCACGAACGCCUCCCGCGCCGCGUUGGAGCGGUAGAACACCUUCUGCAGGAUGUCCAGCACCUUGUACGUCGGCCAGUAGAGCCGGUCGAACUCCGCCAGGUACUUGCGCAGGUCGCUCUCGUCCACCAGCCGCGUCCCGUUCGCCGACCCGGCCACGAUCGCCUCCGCGCACAUCCGCCCGCUCUUCGCCGCGAAGUAGAUCCCCUCGCCGGAGCACUUUGUCACGUACCCCGCCGCGUCGCCCACCAGCGUCA
rnacentral:lncRNA from 1 species